rnacentral:rRNA from 1 species
AGACUUCUGCAUCUUUAGGAUAUUCUAGUCCAACAUCGAGGUCACAACCCCCCCUUUCGAUUUGGUCUCUCAAGGGAGAUUAUGCUGUUAUCCCUGCGGUAACUAGUUUUUUUAAUCAGCUUUGCUGGAUCAAAACGUAUAGGUUUUAAAUUAAUUUAUAAAGGAAGCUCUUUUUGUUCCUUGGUCGCCCCAACCAAAAAAGAUUAACAGUUAUAUAUUUGCUAUAAAACAUAAGUGUUUCUGUUUGUUUUUCAAGCUCGACAGGG